rnacentral:tRNA from 1 species
GGGUAUAGCUAAAGUGGUGGAGCACAUGCCUAGCAUGUAUGAGGCCCUGGGUUCAAUCCCCAGUGCCUCCA